UACGUAGGCAGCGAGCGUUGUUCGGAGUUACUGGGCGUAAAGGGUGUGUAGGCGGUUGUUUAAGUUUGGUGUGAAAUCUCCCGGCUCAACUGGGAGGGUGCGCCGAAUACUGAAUGACUAGAGUGCGGGAGAGGUGAGUGGAAUUCCUGGUGUAGCGGUGAAAUGCGUAGAUAUCAGGAGGAACACCGGUGGCGAAGGCGGCCCUCUGGACGGAUACUGACGCUGAGGCGCGAAAGCGUGGGGAUCAAACAGG
rnacentral:rRNA from 1 species